rnacentral:rRNA from 1 species
GAUGAACGCUGGCGGCGUGCCUAAUACAUGCAAGUCGAGCGAACAGACGAGGAGCUUGCUCCUCUGACGUUAGCGGCGGACGGGUGAGUAACACGUGGAUAACCUACCUAUAAGACUGGGAUAACUUCGGGAAACCGGAGCUAAUACCGGAUAACAUGUUGAACCGCAUGGUUCAACAGUGAAAGACGGUCUUGCUGUCACUUAUAGAUGGAUCCGCGCCGCAUUAGCUAGUUGGUAAGGUAACGGCUUACCAAGGCAACGAUGCGUAGCCGACCUGAGAGGGUGAUCGGCCACACUGGAACUGAGACACGGUCCAGACUCCUACGGGAGGCAGCAGUAGGGAAUCUUCCGCAAUGGGCGAAAGCCUGACGGAGCAACGCCGCGUGAGUGAAGAAGGUCUUCGGAUCGUAAAACUCUGUUAUUAGGGAAGAACAAAUGUGUAAGUAACUAUGCACGUCUUGACGGUACCUAAUUAGAAAGCCACGGCUAACUACGUG